rnacentral:rRNA from 1 species
GACGAACGCUCGCGGCGUGCUUAACACAUGCAAGUCGAACGGUGAAGGGGAGCUUGCUCCCUGGAUCAGUGGCGAACGGGUGAGUAACACGUGGGCAACCUGCCCCAGACUUUGGGAUAACCCCUCGAAAGAGGGGCUAAUACCGAAUACGAACCCUGCAGGCAUCUGCGGGGUUGGAAAGUUCUUCGGUCUGGGAUGGGCCCGCGGCCUAUCAGCUUGUUGGUGAGGUAACGGCUCACCAAGGCGACGACGGGUAGCCGGCCUGAGAGGGCGAUCGGCCACACUGGGACUGAGACACGGCCCAGACUCCUACGGGAGGCAGCAGUGGGGAAUAUUGCGCAAUGGGCGAAAGCCUGACGCAGCAACGCCGCGUGCGGGAUGAAGGCCUUCGGGUUGUAAACCGCUUUCAGCAGGGAAGAAGCGAAAGUGACGGUACCUGCAGAAGAAGCACCGGCUAACUACGUGCCAGCCGCCGCUGUAA